rnacentral:lncRNA from 1 species
GUUUAAGGGUGAAAAUCAUGCAAAGAGGUGGGGAGAGGCUGAGCUGCCCAGGCAGGGGGAGCCCCAAGGAAGCUCCUGGGGUUCCCUGCAGCUCCCUGGGUCCCUCUCAGCCCCGGGACCCUCCCCAGGCAGGAGCAGCACACAGUGGGUGACAGACAGGGUAGGAAACACAGGCAGUCCCUCUGCUUGCUGCACAUCACCUCCUCUGCCUGUGGAUGGUGCUUUUUGGAGCUGCCUGUGGCCAGUGCUUUGUCCCCUGAAGGCUGACUGUGCUGGAGGCUCACUCUGAGUGGCACUGAGGCUGGAGUUAAUCACACCAACCUGAUUAUUUCCAGCUCAAUUCCACCCUUUGGCCUGACCUUGCUACUUUAAUGAACAGGAUGCUGAGGAUUUUCCUUACCAUAAAAAAAUUUGGUUGACCCCAAAAGUAAAAGACGACAAACAAACUCUGAUAUAAAUAACCUGGCCUCUGUGGAAAGCAUCAAAGGUAACUCAGCAAUUAGCCCUUCUCUCAUGGAUAAAUCAUCUCUCUGUGGCACCUGACCCUGGCAUGGCCGACAUUUCUAUAACCCAUUUGCCACUGCUCGUGUAUCCAAUGGCUUUCAGUCACCCUAAAUUUGGAGAUUCUAAUCUCCUAUAUUAAGUCAGUGGUUCUUAGUAAUUCUUAGUGAUUUUAUUUCUAUUGGCUUUGUAAAUCAGAGUUAUCCAUGUCAGCCCAUGGUCAGGGAGAGAAGCGUUUGUCUGUGAAAUUGGGUUGACACAGCCCAUUGAGUGUGAUGAUAAGAGGUGAUUUGCAGGGCUGGCUGGACAAGCCAUUUACACCCAGCAGAUUAUCAUAGCACAGUCCAGAAGUUUAGUUACAGGGAGAACAGAGGAAGCUGCAGAACAUGUGGAGUGGGGAAGGGGCACUCCUGCUUCUCCACACUGGAGCUGAGCCCUGGGAUGGGACAGGAAUCGGAGACACAGCAUGGGAAAGGAGAAAUAACACCUCUGACAUCACUCUGCCAGGCACCAGGUGUGCCAAUGGCCACAGACACGACCUGUACAGACCCUGCUGUACAAUCCUGCUGUACAAUCCUGCUGUACAGACCCUGCUGUACAAUCUUGUUGUACAAUCCUGCUGUACAAUCCUGCUGUACAGACCCUGCUGUACA